UACGGGGGGUGCGAGCGUUGUCCGGAAUCACUGGGCGUAAAGGGCGCGUAGGUGGUUUGAUAAGGGUGUGGUGAAAGUCCGGGGCUCAACCCCGGAUCUGCCGUGCCGACUGUCAAACUCGAGGACUGUAGAGGCAGACGGAAUUCCGGGUGUAGCGGUGGAAUGCGUAGAGAUCCGGAGGAAGACCGGUGGCGAAGGCGGUCUGCUGGGCAGUUUCUGACACUGAGGAGCGAAAGCGUGGGGAGCGAACAGG
rnacentral:rRNA from 1 species